rnacentral:siRNA from 1 species
UGGAUUUUGUAAGGCUAAGAG